GACGAACCGUGCGAACGUUGUUCGGAAUCACUGGGCUUAAAGGGCGCGUAGGCGGGCGGCCAAGUCCGGGGUGAAAGCCCCCAGCUCAACUGGGGAAGUGCCUUGGAAACUGGUCGUCUUGAGGGAGGUAGGGGCAUGUGGAACUUCGGGUGGAGCGGUGAAAUGCGUUGAUAUCAGGAGGAACACCGGUGGCGAAGGCGGGUC
rnacentral:rRNA from 1 species